rnacentral:rRNA from 1 species
UACAGAGGGGGCUAGCGUUGUUCGGAAUUACUGGGCGUAAAGCGUGCGUAGGCGGCUUGAUAAGUCAGAAGUGAAAGCCCAAGGCUUAACCUUGGAAUUGCUUUUGAUACUGUCAGGCUUGAAGGUGGUAGAGGAUAGUGGAAUUCUUAGUGUAGGAGUGAAAUCCGUAGAUAUUAAGAGGAACACCAGUGGCGAAGGCGACUAUCUGGGCCAUUCUUGACGCUGAGGUACGAAAGUGUGGGGAUCAAACAGG